UAUGUGAUCGUCUCUUGCAUAUCAAUAAGCGGAGGAAAAGAAACUAACAAGGAUUCCCCUAGUAACGGCGAGUGAAGCGGGAAGAGCUCAAAUUUGAAAUCUUAAAGGGUUUCCCUUUACGAAUUGUAGUUUAAAGAAGUGUUUUCUGUUGAGGUUUUGGUAAAAGUUCUUUGGAAUAGGACAUCAUAGAGGGUGAGAAUCCCGUAUUUGACCUUUACUUUCAACUUUGUGAUACACUUUCAAAGAGUCGGAUUGUUUGGGAAUGCAGUCCAAAAUGGGUGGUAAAUUUCAUCUAAAGCUAAAUAUUGGCGAGAGACCGAUAGCGAACAAGUACCGUGAGGGAAAGAUGAAAAGAACUUUGAAAAGAGAGUUAAACAGUACGUGAAAUUGUCAAAAGGGAAGCGUUUGACACCAGUGUUGUUUUUCUGAAAAUCAAUUAAAGAACUGUUUAUGCUAAGUUGUUUAGACUUUAUCAGCUAUCUGUUUAGUUUUGAGCUUUUCUUUAAUGCACUUUUCAGUUAACAAGUCAACAUCAAUUUCUUUUGCUGUAAAAAAGCUUGAGGAAGGUGGCUUGAGAUUCGUCUUAAGUGUUUAUAGCCUCUUGCCUAUGCAGUCGGAGAGAUUGAGGUCUGCAGCGUAGAUCCUUCGGGGCUAAAUGCAUUUGUGCUAAGUUAUAGCAUUUUAUAGACAACUUGUUGACUAUGAUUUGUCUUGUAGCUUACUCGCUUAUGUUAUUUUACCUACGCUUAGGAUGUUGAAGACUCUACAGAGAUA
rnacentral:rRNA from 1 species